rnacentral:rRNA from 1 species
AUAUGCCUUUAGGUGGGGGACAACAGUUGGAAACGACUGCUAAUACCGCAUAAUGUCUACGGACCAAAGAGGGGGACCUUCGGGCCUCUUGCCUUUAGAUUAGCCCAAGUGAGAUUAGCUUGAUGGUGGGGUAAUGGCCUACCAUGGCGACGAUCUCUAGCUGGUUUGAGAGGAUGAUCAGCCACACUGGGACUGGGACACGGCCCAGACUCCUACGGGAGGCAGCAGUGGGGAAUAUUGCACAAUGGGCGAAAGCCUGAUGCAGCCAUGCCGCGUGUGUGAAGAAGGCCUUCGGGUUGUAAAGCACUUUCAGUCGUGAGGAAAGGAGUGUAGUUAAUAGCUGCACUCUGUGACGUUAGCGACAGAAGAAGGACCGGCUAACUCCGUGCCAGCAGCCGCGGUAAUACGGAGGGUCCGAGCGUUAAUCGGAAUUACUGGGCGUAAAGCGUGCGUAGGCGGUUCAUUAAGUCAGAUGUGAAAUCCCGGGGCUCAACCUCGGAACUGCAUUUGAAAAUGGUGAACUAGAGUAUUGUAGAGGGUGGUGGAAUUUCCAGUGUAGCGGUGAAAUGCGUAGAGAUUGGAAGGAACAUCAGUGGCGAAGGCGGCCACCUGGACAAAUACUGACGCUGAGGCACGAAAGCGUGGGGAGCAAACAG